GAUGAACGCUGGCGGCGUGCCUAAUACAUGCAAGUCGAGCGAACGGACGAGAAGCUUGCUUCUCUGAUGUUAGCGGCGGACGGGUGAGUAACACGUGGAUAACCUACCUAUAAGACUGGGAUAACUUCGGGAAACCGGAGCUAAUACCGGAUAAUAUUUUGAACCGCAUGGUUCAAAAGUGAAAGACGGUCUUGCUGUCACUUAUAGAUGGAUCCGCGCUGCAUUAGCUAGUUGGUAAGGUAACGGCUUACCAAGGCAACGAUGCAUAGCCGACCUGAGAGGGUGAUCGGCCACACUGGAACUGAGACACGGUCCAGACUCCUACGGGAGGCAGCAGUAGGGAAUCUUACGCAAUGGGCGAAAGCCUGACGGGGCAACGCCGCGUGAGUGAUGAAGGUGUUCGGAUCGUAAAACUCUGUUAUUAGGGAAGAACAUAUGUGUAAGUAACUGUGCACAUCUUGACGGUACCUAAUCAGAAAGCCACGGCUAACUACGUG
rnacentral:rRNA from 1 species